rnacentral:rRNA from 1 species
GAUGAACGCUGGCGGCGUGCUUAACACAUGCAAGUCGAACGGUGAAGGCGGAGCUUGCUCUGCUGGAUCAGUGGCGAACGGGUGAGUAACACGUGAGCAAUCUGCCCCUGACUCUGGGAUAAGCGCUGGAAACGGCGUCUAAUACUGGAUACGAGCUGCGAAGGCAUCUUCAGCAGCUGGAAAGAACUUCGGUCAGGGAUGAGCUCGCGGCCUAUCAGCUUGUUGGUGAGGUAACGGCUCACCAAGGCGUCGACGGGUAGCCGGCCUGAGAGGGUGACCGGCGACACUGGGACUGAGACACGGCCCAGACUCCUACGGGAGGCAGCAGUGGGGAAUAUUGCACAAUGGGCGAAAGCCUGAUGCAGCAACGCCGCGUGAGGGACGACGGCCUUCGGGUUGUAAACCUCUUUUAGCAGGGAAGAAGCGAAAGUGACGGUACCUGCAGAAAAAGCGCCGGCUAACUACGUG